rnacentral:lncRNA from 1 species
AUGGACGCGUCCGUGAGGCAUGGAUGGAAGCGAUUGUAGUGGAUUGAGGGAAUCAGUAGGAGCUACUAUGGUUGGCUUGGUUUGCAAAUCAAGGAGCUGGGUGGAUGAGACUGAUCCAGAGGAAGGGGACGUCUAGGUAGGUGGGUGGCGGCGCGGGAGAUGGGAAUGGGCGUAUGGGAAAGGCGAGGUUUUGACUGUUUUAUACCUUACUCGAUUAGGCCAGGGGCUAUCUUUUCCCUCCGUUCUGGAACGGACAUUCAAAAAUAAUACUUUAGAGGGUCCAAUUAAAAUUUGAUAGGCGGCUUGCCUAUAAUAAAACAAGACCACACUCCAACAU